rnacentral:misc_RNA from 1 species
UGGCUCUCCUAUCGAUGAAGAACGCAGCGAAAUGCGAUAAGUAAUGUGAAUUGCAGAAUUCAGUGAAUCAUCGAAUCUUUGAACGCACCUUGCGCCCUUUGGUAUUCCGAAGGGCAUGCCUGUUUGAGUGUCAUUAAAUUAUCAACCUUGCUCGCUUUUACCGGCUUGAGUUAGGCUUGGAUGUGAGGGCUUUGCUGGCUUCCUUCAGUGGACGGUCUGCUCCUUUCAAAUGCAUUAGUGGGAUCUCUUGUGGACCGUCACUUGGUGUGAUAAUUAUCUACGCCAUCUUGACUUUGAAGCAAAACUUAUGGGAACCCGCUCAUAACCGUCUUUGGACAAUCUUUGACAUUUUGACCUCAAAUCAGGUAGGACUACCCGCUGA